rnacentral:misc_RNA from 1 species
GUUGGUGAACCAGCGGAGGGAUCAUUACUGAGUUACCGCUCUACAACCCUUUGUGAACAUACCUAACUGUUGCUUCGGCGGGCAGAGGUUCCCUCGCGGAACCCCUCCCGGUGGCGCCCUCACGGGCGUCGCGCCCGCCGGAGGAUACCAAACUCUAUUUUAACGACGUUUCUUCUGAGUGGCACAAGCAAAUAAUUAAAACUUUUAACAACGGAUCUCUUGGUUCUGGCAUCGAUGAAGAACGCAGCAU